rnacentral:rRNA from 1 species
UACGAAGGGGGCGAGCGUUGUUCGGAUUUACUGGGCGUAAAGGGCGCGUAGGCGGCGCAACAAGUCAGGCGUGAAAGCCCCGGGCUCAACCUGGGAGGUGCGCUUGGGACUGUUGUGCUUGAGUUCGGGAGAGGAGAGUGGAAUUCCCAGUGUAGAGGUGAAAUUCGUAGAUAUUGGGAAGAACACCGGUGGCGAAGGCGGCUCUCUGGACCGAGACUGACGCUGAGGCGCGAAAGC